CAGAGGGAACGGCGGUCACCGGUCUCCGCCAUGUUUGUUUGAAUUGCCGUUAUCGCAGUUACACUCAACGCGAAGAAUACAUUCCUCCCGUAAUAAUUUGCAGUUGUUGGGUUAUUAAAUGUGUUUCUGCAGCAUAGGAAAUUGAAGAUACCAAAAUGACAACAGAAGGAUUAGGUACUAACUUGACUAAAGAUUUAGAUGGUUUUAUCGAGCAGCUGAACGACUGCAAACAGCUGCAGGAGAGUGAAGUAAAACGCAUUUGCGACAAGGCCAAAGAAAUUCUCAGCAAAGAAUCCAAUGUACAAGAAGUGAAAUGUCCCGUCACAGUUUGCGGUGAUGUUCAUGGCCAAUUCCAUGAUCUCAUGGAACUCUUCCGUAUAGGAGGACGUUCACCAAACACAAAUUACCUUUUCAUGGGUGACUACGUAGAUAGAGGUUACUAUUCAGUCGAAACUGUCACACUUUUGGUUUGUUUAAAGGUUAGGCAUCCGGAACGAAUAACUAUCUUGAGAGGGAACCACGAAAGCCGGCAAAUCACACAAGUAUACGGCUUCUACGAUGAAUGCCUACGAAAGUAUGGUAAUGCUAAUGUUUGGAAGUACUUCACAGAUCUGUUUGAUUAUUUACCACUAACAGCACUGGUAGAUGGACAGAUCUUUUGUCUACAUGGUGGACUAUCACCUUCAAUCGACACACUAGAUCAUAUCCGUGCUCUUGAUCGUCUUCAAGAAGUACCGCAUGAAGGACCUAUGUGUGAUCUGCUCUGGUCUGAUCCCGAUGAUAGAGGUGGCUGGGGUAUCUCACCACGUGGUGCUGGAUAUACCUUUGGUCAAGACAUCUCGGAGACCUUCAAUCACACCAACGGACUCACGCUCAUCUCCAGGGCUCACCAGCUUGUCAUGGAAGGUUAUAAUUGGUGCCAUGAUAGAAACGUAGUGACCAUCUUCAGUGCCCCUAACUACUGCUACCGAUGCGGCAAUCAAGCAGCGAUCAUGGAAUUGGACGACGGUUUGAAGUAUUCCUUCUUGCAAUUUGACCCUGCUCCUAGAAGAGGCGAGCCACACGUCACACGGCGCACACCGGACUACUUCCUCUAGACUUAAAAAUUCCCUUUCAUCAUCUUAUCCCAAAUAUUGGAUCCAUCUUGCUGGGUAGGGUAGUGGAAAUUAUACCUUACCGCAGGAUCACCAUGGUAUCCAGUUGAAAAUGAUCCUCCAGUUGGAGUUUCAACUUUUCUCAUGAUUUCUUCUUUAUAGCUAUAGAUUGUAAUUUUUCUGCAUGGGGGGGGGUAUUUGUUCAAAAAGUUUUAAUUCUGUAGAAGGAUAUGUUGCAGAAUGUGAACUUCAUGGGUUCAUUAUCAAAUUAGUAUUAAUUUUGAAUGUACCCUACUUUUUGUUUGUUACAUCAGGGUAUGCUUGCUACUCAAAGUAAUGCUGUUAGCUAAAUUUAUCAAUUUCAGUGUACUUAGAAUGGAGUGCAGGACUUCAUCAAUCAUCUAUUUAAUUAUAAUUCAGUAGCCCUAUAACGGCAUAGUCUGACUACCUACAUGAAUUACUUAUUUUGUGUAUUGCAUUGUCACAAUAGAGAAGAAGUCAUGAGAAAAUCAUAAAACCUGAGUGGCACUUACAGUCUCAAGUUUUGGUCCAUUUCUGAAGGAAACCUUACGACUCGUAUCAAAAGGGGGCACUGCCUGACGGUAAAAAUUGUCUCCCUGUUGUGCUACUCUGAAUGAUUGUAGGUCAUCAUCUAGCAGAAAUGCAGGUAUUAAGGGGUGUACUGCUUCAGUUGGGGGGGGGUUCACAAAGAUUCACCUGGACAAGAAACAACACUCGACAAUGGCACACCAGUUAAGACCAUUUCUUUAAACUUGAUCAUCUGUCUCUCUAAAAUAAUUUGCAUAUCAUCACGGUUACGCAUCCAAACAAAUUUGUUCCCAUCAACAAUUAACCUUUGGAUAAAUAAUGCUAAUUUUUAGACAUGCGUGACCAUCAAUUUUAUGUUAUGCGUAUUCGUUGAGAAUUACUGAUGAAAGCGAGUGGUGGCCUUCCAUAGUUUAGUGCAAUAGUAGUCAAAACCAGUCUUUGUGAAAGCCCCCCUCCCCCAUACCCAGACCGAUACAGAAACAGUUUUCAUUGGGGCCUUCUUCGGUGGGAUUCCAUGCUCGGCUCACCUCCAUUUACACAAUGGGAGAAUUUAAAAAUAUACUGGUAAAUUAAGGAAUUCAAGACAGAGCCGUGAGGAAUUUAAGAUUGUUAAACGAUAUUCAUGUAUUGUAGAUAUUGGUCUCAGACGAGAAUGGGAAUGCUUUAUGGUCAUGUACAUGUCAUCUCUUCAGAGCUAAAAAGGCAUAAAACCUGCUCAUGCAUGCUCUACUGGCUUUCACCACAUGCAAUCUCCAUUCAUAUUUCUCAUUUGUGGUGGUUAGAGUUUGAGCUGGGCUGCUUUUGACUAGUUUGAACGAUUUUUGCUUUCAAGUAAAUAGAUGUGUAUAAAACGGUAGUUCCAACAUGUUACCAUUAUAGUCUCUUUCCAAGAAAUCAGUCUUGUUUUUAAGAAUCAUCAAAUGGCUGGAACUGGAAGACACAGAUAUGGCCUAUUUGCGGGCAACCGUUCAUUAUUACUCCAAAACAAUUUGUUUAGACAGAUCAUUCCUGUGUGUGUUUUUUUCCUCUCCAUUUUUAAACAUUUUUUUUUUCAUCAGAAUUAGCUAAUACAUCUAUAGAGGAACAUGAUUUGAUGAUGGAUUUUGCAAAAAAUUUAAAUGUAAUACAACAUGUUCUCAUAUCUAUUAUGAUAAAUAUCUUUAUUUAAAUAAAAGAAUGGAUCGUAAUCAAUUACUUGCUUCAUUUGAAAAUGAUAAUAGGUUGUUGAUGAGGCCAAUAAUCUGAUAUGAACAUGUCUGCAAUUUUUUAAUACCAAUCCAUUUUUUUUUUUUAUGAAUGGAAAUUUUGACAAAAGGCCCAGACUAUGUUAUGUGGAUCAUUACAUUAUCUGGAAUCACUCCACAUUGGUACAUGUACUAAUCACAUGAUUUCAUGAGCUAUGUGUUCUCAAUAUUGUGUGUUAACUGUAGCAGUCUAAACUAAGCGUAGAUAAGUACAACAGAAUAGAAGUGAUAAGAAAUCAGACUGCAUUGGUUAUUAUCAAUUUUGAAUCAUCUCUUGGUGAGAAAGUAAACGAACUGGCUAUUCACUACAAACUAUUAAAAUGGAUAUAUUGUUAUCGCGUAUAUUAGAAGCAGCCUGUUGCUGAGGAGAUGUAAUUUAGUGGCUGCGUUUUUAUCUAGCUAUUGAGAAAAACAAGCAAAAGAUGUGUUGCGUCAGAAGAUACUGAAUUGUCUGGCUGCGUUUUAAAUUAUUGAAUUUGUCAUAAAAUGAAAUUGUUUUCUAUGUUGUGUAUAUUGAGAGUUAAUUUGAUAUUUGCUUUUGGAAGAGAGCAAAAGGGGGGAAUGGAAUUGAAUAUUUAAUGUCUUCAUAUACGUCUGUCUUAUUGUAUUGCUAGACAGAGAUGAGCUAUAAUCUUCAAAACAAAUUGGAAUAUGUUUCACCAAGGUGAUGUUGCAAGAUUGGUUUUCGGUCCCAAAAUCUGUUGUUAGAUGCAAUUGUGAUUCACUUCUGGACUGCUCCUUGUAAUGUAGACUAAAAUCAACCUUUUUGACAUGUAGUUUUGAACAACAACCGAAACAAAUUUCUCACAACAUGCUCCAAGAUUGACCGGUAUUGAUAACAACCAUGACAAGCUAUGGUUCCAAUGUUUGCUUUCACCAAACUCUGAAUCAUCAAAAGCACUGAUGUAAUGAACAUUUUUAUGAACAUUUAAAUUCUACAGAUUUAUGCCUGGGGGUGUUGCAAGAAAAUAUUUGCAAUUAAUUGCAAAAACCAGUAGCAAGUUUACAAGUUGUAGAUCAAUUUUAACCGAAACAAAUUAAUUUAUGAUUGUUGAUCAUACAUGAAGCUGACCAGCGAUCAAUUGCAAAUUUACAAUUAAUUGCAGCACUUAUGAUCGAUUUUGCGACCUGAAAUUGACUUUUCUUCGAUUCCACCUAUGUUGUGGAAACAGCUAGUGGCAUGUUUGGCUUGCUAUACUUUAAGACCAAUUUUAGCAACCAAUCCUGCAAAUCUUUUGUGAAACUCCGUUAUUACUUUCCUGGAGAUUAUAUUGUGUAUGUGUGGGUGUACAGUGUACUACUUCUUGACCUAAAAACACUGCGACACAUUUGAUAAAAAUCUAUUCUAGUUUCCUUCCUUAACCCUAACUGUUUUUAAACAACUUUAUUGUUGCUAAGAUUUUGUUAAUGUAAUUAUACCAUCAGCGUCUUUUUGUAUGUGAAACAAUAAAUCUUGUCCAUGAUAGCUAUGUUAUAAAAGAGAGAAUUAAUUCCAUGUAGAUAUUAGUAGCCUGUAACCCAUCGUGUCAGUGCAAAAAUGCCCUUAACAUGACACUUUUUUGCGCAUCACAUGCAUGCGAAAACUCCCCUAGCAGCAUGUGCAAGUGCGUUGCAUAAGGGCAUUUCCGUAAUGAUGCAGUGUACAAAAAUGUUUUGCUGAGGGCGUUCUUUCACCAACACAUUGAACUGUUAGCCUAUUUUCAAAUGAUGUAAGGUAGUUAUCUUUUUGAAGGCUUAGCUUUGAAGGCCCAUUUAGAUGUGUCAUGAAAUCCUUGUUCUUCUCCAUCAGACCAUACCAUGUCAUGUCUAUAUGAUCCUGGCAACAUGGCAAUUAUUUCCUGUGUCUGAAAGGAGACCUGUGUUAUGGUGUAUGCCUGGUUGGUCUACACGGCUGUACACAACUUUUUACCAUCCUGUUUACCAAAGUCAAUAAUAUUCAAUGUUUGAAGCAAGAUUUAUAUGUAUUAAGUGUAUAGCACCAAUGUUGACUUUUCCUCUUUUUUUUGUUCAAAAAUAGAUGGUAUUCAGUUUUAGUUCCUCCAUUUUAAUUAUUUUUUAUUUGAAUUUAGCCAAGAAUUAUUGAUCUGGAAAUUCUGUUGGAACUUUUGUUUACACUGGAAAGUGAAUAAUCCAGCCAAUUUUCGAUGUCAUUAAAUUUUCUAUGUUGCAGUUGAUGUAUUGAGCACCAUCUUGUGAAGAGGUCCGUUCUCAUCAGCAUCGCCAAACGUUUUAAAGCAUUGUUCAUUCAGGAGAUUAUUGUGUAGAUGUUGGUCUAGUACGGUAAAGAUUUAUUUUUGUAAUGUGAACAGUGACAUUGCAUUAUACCCAUACAUCUAUAUUCAGUGUAAUUUCUUACCAUUUUAUAAACAUAAUUUGUACCACUCCCUUUCUAUGUAAUAUAUCCCGUGACCUGAAUUUACACAUUGAAGUUAAAAAAACUAAAAGCUUUUAUUUUGUAUUCUUUUGAGAUAAUGCUACAUGUUGAAAUCUGGCUAUUUCAUCUGUGGCACAAAAAAUGACUAAGGUACCUCACCAAAAGCCUUUGUAAUGUCUUUUAUUAAAAAUUCUUCACAGCAUCUUUCCAAUUGGUAUUGCCGUUUGACGCCAAAAUGUUUCUUGUUGGAUUCUUGAAGGGUAGACACUGCACUGACUCUUGAUGAGAUACCUCAAUUACAUAAAUCACUUCUUUGCACAUAGAGAAAUGAAAUAUAUGAACUUCAUCAAGAAAAAAAAACAUUGAUAAUCACUUGAUAUCUCCCUUACAUUUAAAAGGCCCAUAUUCUGCAAAUCAAGCUUUAAAAAUGGUUCAGGGUACAUUUUUAAAGGUGAUAGCCUGCUUGAGAGUCUCUUGUACCCAUCUCUCUUGCCAUCUUGGCCAUGCUUCUCCCUUUAGCUGCUUCAAUCAAAGUGAAAGUCCUUGAGUAUCUGUGAGUAAUAGAGAGAAUCACUCUCAAACCUUAUAACCCAUGGAAACUAGUGUUAAUUCUAGAACACACAUCUCUAUAUGGGUUGUUCAUAUGGUCCCAGGGGUGUUUUGUGACGGUUUUCAGUAGCUUAUAAAAAAUAAUAACAGAAAAUAACUUUGUUUUAUGAAAUGAUUCUGGGUUGUAUUGUUUUGUGAAACUGGUCUCGGACAAACAUCCUUGGUUGACCAGGGGCCUGGUUUCAUAAAGGGAUGCAGCUAUAGUAACUUUGCCAUGAUGAGAACUACCAUGGUAACACGGCUCAACCUGCAAUCACAAUCAAAGUUUCCAUGGUAGUAAUAAUAAUGGCAAAGUUGGCAUAGUUGGAAGCCUUUCUUGGGCCCCAGAGCCUUGUUGUAGAAAGGAUAAAAUUAUGGCAACUCAAUUAUUCAGUGGUGAUUACAUGAAAUCCUCAGUUUUAUUUGGCAGUUGAUAAUUGUUGCCAUGGUAGUUACCAUAGGAUUGUAAAGUUAUUGAUUUGCGCCCCUGAACAUCCAUCAAACUCUGGUUUUCAUCUUGCAGAAUAUGGGCCUAUAUAUUUAAUCUGGAAUUAAGAUAUUGGUCCUCAUGUAAUGCUGACUGUACAGCCCCAUUAAUGCGUUAUUGUUCAUGUUAUACUACAACAUAUCUUUUUUUUAAUUUGAUAAAGAUAAAUUGCAGGGAAAUGUAGCCCUCUUGUAAUCUUUGUUCCUUGUCUAAUGAAAAAAAAGCUUUAUAUCUGGUUUAAACUGAGAAGAAAAUUGUUAAAUGUGUUUCAAAAUAAUAAAAAAAAGCAAUGCUAUGAGUGUGACACUA
rnacentral:misc_RNA from 1 species